rnacentral:rRNA from 1 species
GAUGAACGCUGGCGGCGUGCCUAAUACAUGCAAGUCGAGCGAAAGGUCUUGAAGCUUGCUUCUUUGAAGUUAGCGGUGGACGGGUGAGUAGCAAGUGGGUAAGCAACCUAUAAGACUGGGAUAACUUAGGGAGGCCGGAGCUUAUAACGGAUAAUAUAUUGAACCGCAAGGUUCAAAAGUGCAAGGUGAUCUUGUAGUAAGUGAUAGAUGGAUCCGCGUUGCAUUAGCUAGUUGGUAAGGUACCGGCUUACCAAGGCAACGAUGCAUAGCCGACUUGAGAGGUUGAUCGGCCACACUGGGACUGAGACACGGCCCAGACUCCUACGGGAGGCAGCAGUAGGGAAUCUUCCGCAAUGGGCGAAAGCCUGACGGAGCAACGCCGCGUGAGUGAUGAAGGUCUUCGGAUCGUAAAACUCUGUUAUUAGAGAAGAACAUAUGUGUAAGUAACUGUGCACAUCUUGACGGUACCUAAUCAGAAAGCCACGGCUAACUACGUG